rnacentral:rRNA from 1 species
AGAGUUUGAUCCUGGCUCAGAAUGAACGCUGGCGGCAGGCCUAACACAUGCAAGUCGAACGGGUGUCUUCGGGCACUAGUGGCGGACGGGUGAGUAACGCGUGGGAACAUACCCAAAGGUACGGAAUAGCCUCGGGAAACUGAGAGUAAUACCGUAUGUGCCCUUCGGGGGAAAGAUUUAUCGCCUUUGGAUUGGCCCGCGUUGGAUUAGGUAGUUGGCGGGGUAAUGGCCUACCAAGCCGACGAUCCAUAGCUGGUUUGAGAGGAUGAUCAGCCACACUGGGACUGAGACACGGCCCAGACUCCUACGGGAGGCAGCAGUGGGGAAUCUUAGACAAUGGGGGAAACCCUGAUCUAGCCAUGCCGCGUGAUCGAUGAAGGCCUUAGGGUUGUAAAGAUCUUUCAGAUGGGAAGAUAAUGACGGUACCAUCAGAAGAAGCCCCGGCUAACUCCGUGCCAGCAGCCGCGGUAAUACGGAGGGGGCUAGCGUUAUUCGGAAUUACUGGGCGUAAAGCGCACGUAGGCGGAUUAGAAAGUCAGAGGUGAAAUCCCAGGGCUCAACCUUGGAACCGCCUUUGAAACUCCUAGUCUUGAGGU